rnacentral:tRNA from 1 species
GGGCGCGUAGCUCAGUGGGAGAGCACCGUCUUCACACGGCGGGGUCGCUGGUUCAAUCCCAGCCGCGCCCACCA